CCCGCUCAGAAACUUAAAGGAAGUUGACGGGGACCCGCACAAGCGGUGGAGCAUGUGGUUUAAUUCGACGAUACGCGAAGAACCUUACCUGGCCUUGACAUACUAAAAAGCUUUAAGAGAUUAGAGUGUGCUAGCUUGCUAGAAUUUAGAUACAGGUGCUGCACGGCUGUCGUCAGCUCGUGUCGUGAGAUGUUGGGUUAAGUCCCGCAACGAGCGCAACCUCGUGUUUAGUUGCUAACAGUUCGGCUGAGAACUCUAAACAGACUGCCUACGCAAGUAGGAGGAAGGUGAGGACGACGUCAAGUCAUCAUGGCCCUUACGGCCAGGGCUACACACGUGCUACAAUGGGGUAUACAAAGAGCAGCGAUACGGUGACGUGGAGCAAAUCUAGAAAAUGCCUCUCAGUUCGGAUUGUAGUCUGCAACUCGACUACAUGAGGUUGGAAUCGCUAGUAAUCGUAGAUCAGCAAUGCUACGGUGAAUACGUUCCCGGGUCUU
rnacentral:rRNA from 1 species